UGUUAGCACCCCAAUUUAACAGCCUGUUAUCGCUCUCUGACAGUGUUCUCGCGCUCGCUCUCAAGAUCCACACGCGACUUAAGCUUUCAAGCUCGAACUUGCAUUAACAUACAUUUUAAUUACGUUUCAACCCCCGUUGCAACCAGCCGCGAAUGUAAACUUGUUAAACCGAAAUAAAUGCAUAUGUACAUAUGUAUGUAUGUAUAUGCAUACAGCGAGACGCGCUCGACUUUAUUCUUCGCUUGCACUUCGAAUACUUGUUUGCACGUGGACCUUCUUCGGUCAGAGCUUUGGAUCCACUACCUCUGCGAUCCGCCCACCCACCAACAACUUGUGAACGUCUUCUUUCAUGUUCUUAAGACGGGACCAUUCAACAAUGAUGAUGAUUUUUGACAUAAAAUUAAAAAAUACGAGUAUGUACAAGUAUGUAUGGUUCUGAUUAUUGUGCGCGAUUCCGUUUAUAAUCAUUUUCUUUACCAUCAAUAUUGUGGUUGGCAUCCAUCAUUUAGUUGGCACUUCAAAGAGCGCAUUUCAUAAGACUUAAUUAUGGGAAUUAAUUGUCUUUGAAUGAAUAAUGUUAAUUGAUUUGUUCGCGUCCAUUUACACACAUAUCCGAGUGCUUUUAUAUAUGGUACAUACAUACAUACAAACAUAUGUAUAAGUAUAUACAUUUGUAUGUGGGUAUACAAAAUUGAAGUAAUCAAUGCUCCUUAUGGAGUCCUUCAGACGUGCGUGUCUCUGACUGCAAUUUCCCAAUUAAUUAAUCGAAUGCCAAUUCAUUGCUGUUUAUAAAAACAAAAAUUCCACAAACGAAAUAAAACAAGUGAUAAUGCCAUUUGUCCGGGCCUAUAAACCUUUUCAAUACCCUCUAAAUCGACAAAAUAUCUAGCUAUUCGAAUUGUGGGUCCUUCCACAUAAUACCAAUUCGUUGGGAAUAAAAGGUAUCUAUAUAAAACCAGAAUACCCUAGUAGUAUAAGUGCCGAAAGACCCACCUUUUAUACCAGUCGCUGCGGUAAAGGAUGUGCAGGGAUAGCAUUGAUCCUUUCUGGGCAAAUACUCGUACAAUAUACCUUGGUCCUUUGCUGUGGCUGGGCAUAGAGAAUAAAUGUACAAAUGUAUAAACGCUUUCGGUUAUUGCAACCGCGAUAAUUUAACAACAUGGCACGUAUUUCAUUUCGACGUGCUAGUGGCUCUCGUUCUGUAAUGAGCGAUGGUUCGAGAGAUUAAGAUGGAUGGUAAUUGUGAUCCACCUUUAACCGGACAAAUUGUAUCUCUCUCUGUAUCUUUCUAUUUCUUUGAAAUAUUAUACACGGCUAAAAUAUCUUUACUUUGCUGGACACUGGCACACUUUUUGAUUUAUGCGGGUAGUUUCUAUUGCUGUUCUUAAAAAGGAAUACAUACAUAUGUACAUUCUUACGUAUUCCCAAUAAUAAAAUAUGGUCAUAUCUUGUAUUUCUAGUGAAGACGUUGCUCAGAUAUGAUCUAGAAGAUCUAGAAGUGUUUUGAUUGCCCCAUGUAUUCCAUUUGAAAGAUCUGCAAAUCCGCGUACAGGAUUAUGCACUGCGCUUGAAGUGUAAUGAUUAAUUUAAUGAGUAAUUUGAGUAAUUAUUCAAGGUGGCUAUUUAUCGUAUAUUUACGAGUAUGUAUUAAAUGUACGUUUACGUAACCGCACAAUUAUAAGUAAAUUUAAUUAAUUAAAAUGUUGCUAUGUGUCACAGAAAUGUUUAAUGUCAUUUUCCUGCUGCUGACACAGACGGACGGACUAAAUCGACUCGGUUCUGCAUUUAUUUAGAAUUGAAUUACUUUACCGUGCAAUAUGCCACGGUGUUGUGUUUCGGCACAAGCUCCUUCUCGGGUCUGUGGACCGAUUUUAGAGCCCUCCCUCUGCCAUUCCGUAACCCCUUAAAUGUCCUUCGAAAUUGUGUCAUUUAAUAUUCAAUAAUUUCCCCAAAAAGCUGAUAAAUCAGAUCCAAACACUUUGUAGCUUCGGCUUACCGUCUGGGAAAUAUUAGGCUUUCAAAUGCAAAGCUUAUCCAUUUUUGCGGUAUUUAUUUUCAAAAUUUUGACAGGAAAACAUUUCUUUUUGUAUGUUUUAAAAACUUUCAUUGAUUAGGCGUCGUUAAAGGUAUUUACCAGAACAAAAAUAUAUUUAUUUAAUGUUUUGGCAACGUUAAAAUUUAAAACAAUUUCUUUAAUGGUUCGAGUAAGUAAAUAUAUCCGUUUAGUGGCUUUAGAUCCCACAAAUAUAAGCUACUAAUCAUGAAAACUGUUCAAGGAAUUAAGAGUUUUGUGCGAAUUGUAUUUAAACAAAUAUCUGGCUUUGAAGGUAAUUUUUUAUUGAAUUUGUAUUUAUUAUUGGCUUAUUGUUUUUGUUUUCUCACGCAAUGUUUCCACUGACGGCAGUUUUUGAUGGUCGGUCAGGACAUGCCCUUUGCUGCCCGUCCCCUGUCCGGGGUCCAGUGUCCUUGCCCACAGGAUUCCCCACGCCCCGCCCCGUAUACAGACCCUAUGCAUAUAUAUGCGCUACUUAUGACUGUGUCUGUGGGAGUAGGAGGUUUGUAUAUGCACAAUAGUGGAUGUCCCUGCCCAGGAGUGGCAGGACCGGCACUAAGACGGAGGCUAGGAAUUCAGAAACAGGAACAGGACCGGCACCGGGACGAAGACGGAGACGGGAAUGGAGACCAGAACCAAGACGACAACGAUGAGGACGAAGCUGUGUGUGAAGAUGCGAAAUUGCCUGUGAAAUAUUUUCUAGGUACACACAUAGACACAUCAAAACGA